rfam:Hymenolepis nana genome assembly, scaffold: HNAJ_contig0002205
GGGGUGCGAGAUAGACUUACCUCCACGUGGUGCACCCUGGACAACGUAUUUUCUUACGGCAAAAAAGUCUAU